UACGUAGGGAGCAAGCGUUGUUCGGAUUUACUGGGCGUAAAGGGCGCGUAGGCGGCAAAUCAAGUCAGCUGUGAAAUCUCCGGGCUUAACUCGGAACGGUCAGCUGAUACUGCUUUGCUAGAGUGCAGAAGGGGCAAUCGGAAUUCUCGGUGUAGCGGUGAAAUGCGUAGAUAUCGAGAGGAACACCUGAGGUGAAGACGGGUUGCUGGGCUGACACUGACGCUGAGGCG
rnacentral:rRNA from 1 species